rnacentral:lncRNA from 1 species
GGAUUUGUUGAGGCAGUUCCCCUAUCAUCCUCUCUUAGGGUAUGUCUGCCCUUAAUUCUAAAUCUAGAAUUGAGAUGUUUUUAUUAACACGUUGCAAAGUCAAUACAAGAGAAUAAAUUAUCACCAUCAAUCAACCCCUAGAGUUGUUGUAGAUCAUAUUCUAUUCUCUCCCCUUGAUUCGAGUUGAACCAAAUCCUUCAAGCGCUUCGAACAAACCUUCGGCUACCGCUACCUUAUUGCAAGAACGCCAUGUUCCCCAAAACUUCAGCUCGGCUGCUUUCGAACGCAAGUCGCUUUAAUCCUAAGCUUUCUUCAUAAUCCUCCGGUUAUCGUUACUUGCUUGACCAAACCCACCGUUCUUCAAAAUUUUCACUCGGUUGAAUCUGCGAAGCAAAGGUUAGUGCAAAACCCCCCAAUUCUUGGAGGACAAAACCCUAAUGGUUUUAUUCAAGAAAAACCCACACAAAGCCUCAACCCAAACUAAGAUAAUCCAAUCUUAUUUGGACGUUAUCACAACAGCAAUGCACAAUGCUCAACAAAAAUUAUUAUGUGUGAUUAUUGAGAAAUGCAAUGAAGAAUGAAGAUGACGAGCACUUUGGUG